rnacentral:rRNA from 1 species
UACGUAGGGUGCGAGCGUUAAUCGGAAUUACUGGGCGUAAAGCGUGCGCAGGCGGUUUUUUAAGCCAGAUGUGAAAUCCCCGGGCUCAACCUGGGAAUGGCAUUUGGGACUGCAAGGCUGGAGUUUGGCAGAGGAGACUGGAAUUCCUGGUGUAGCAGUGAAAUGCGUAGAUAUCAGGAGGAAUACCGAUGGCGAAGGCAGGUCUCUGGGCUAUAACUGACGCUCAUGCACGAAAGCGUGGGGAGCAAACAGG